UACGUAGGGUGCGAGCGUUGUCCGGAAUUAUUGGGCGUAAAGAGCUCGUAGGCGGUGUGUCACGUCGUUCGUGAAAACCUGCAGCUUAACUGUGGGCGUGCGGUCGAUACGGGCAUCACUGGAGUUCGGCAGGGGAGACUGGAAUUCCUGGUGUAGCGGUGAAAUGCGCAGAUAUCAGGAGGAACACCGGUGGCGAAGGCGGGUCUCUGGGCCGAUACUGACGCUGAGGCGCGAAAGCUAGGGGAGCAAACAGG
rnacentral:rRNA from 1 species